rnacentral:lncRNA from 1 species
GGCUGUAGAGUUUGAGGGGUCAGACUUUUGACAAGGACUGAUCGUCCAGCUAGGGUGUCUUCAUAUGGCUGGGAAUCUGGAGUAGGCAAGAGAAGAUUAGCAGCUUGGCAAAUUUCCUGUCUAGCCUGCUAGAGGACUGGAAGAUAGUUGCCCAGGGGGCUGGUGUCUGGAACAAGAUUGUGGCUGAGUAAGAAGGUGCAUCCAUAUAAAAUUGAAAUGGGUUGUACCCUGUGGCUUCUCAAGGACAGGCCCUAAUUCUGAGGAGGGCAAGUGGUAAAAGUACUGUCCAGUCCUUUUUAAGUUGGAGGCUGAGCUUGGUGAGGUGUGUUUUUAAAAGACCAUUCAUCCGUUCUACCUUUCCUGAAGAUUGAGGACGGUAGGGGGUAUGAAGUUUCCACUGAAUACCAAGAGCCUGAGAAACUGUGGAAGUAGGGAGGCCAAAUUGGGGGAUUAUAUCUGUCAGAAGGGAAGAAAUGACUGUAGUAGCCUUUCAGAGCUAGUGGGAAAGGCCUCGACCCAUCCGGUGAAGGUAUUGGCCCAAACCAGGAGAUAUUUAAAUUUACAGACACGCGGCAUAUGAAUAAAGUCAAUUUGCCAAUCUUGUGUCGGAGGAAAUCCAUGAGCCUGAUGCGUAGGAAAAGGAGGAGGCCUGAGAAGACCUCGGGGGUUGGUGGCAUGGCAGACAGAGCAUUGAGAGGUGAUGGUUUUAAGGAUGGAUUUCCAUGAUGGGAUGGAAAUGAGGGGCUGUAGGAGGCCAGCCAGAGGCUUAUAUCCUAUAUGGAAAUGGUCAUGAAGGGAAGAGAGAGUAGACUGGGCUUGUGAGGCAGGAAGAACGAAUUUUCCAUGAUCUAAGAACCACUUGCCCUGAGUUGGAAAAGACUGGUAGAGCAGGUUUUUUAGAAGAGGAGUAGGUGGGGGUGAUAGAGAAGAAAGAAAAGUACUAGCCUUUUGGGGUGAGGGCUAGAAUAUUUGCAGGCGUGGAGGCAUUUGCUGUUUCUUUUGCUGUCCUGUUGGCGUAGGCAUUUCCUUUAGCAAUAAGAUCAGUUGGUUUCUGGUGUCCUUUACAAUGAAUGAACCCAGCUUUGGCCAGCAAGAGAGCAGCAUUAAGGAGGGCCUUUAUUAGAGAGGUAUUGAUAAUGGAAGAGCCUUGUGUGGUGAGAAAACCUCUUUCAGUCCAAAGGGUAGCAUGGUUGUGGAGGAUGUGGAAAGCAUAUUAGGAGUCAAUAUAAAUUUUAAUGUGCAUUCCUUUGGCGACAGAGAGUGCACAAGUUAAAGCAAUCAGUUUGGCUUGUUGGGAAGUAGUGGAGGGAGGAAGUGCAGCAGCCUCAAUAAUAGAGGUAUGGGACACGACAGCAUAACCAGCUUUAGCUGGCGAGAUUUGACUGGGUUUAGAGGAACUGCCAUGAAUAAACCAAGUGUGGUCUGGAUUUGGGAUUGGAAAAAUAGAAAUAUGAGGAAAGGGGGAAGAUGCUAUGUGUAUUAGGGAGAUACAAUCAUGUUGGCCAGGACUUGUGUUGGGUGCUAAGUGAGAAGCUGGGUUGAAAUCGGGCCCAUGGGCAGUAGUUAUUGUUGGGGUUUCAAUAAAGAGUGAAUAGAGCUGGAGAUGUCGAGGGGCAGACAGCAAGUGUGAAAGGUGUGAGGAGGAUAUUAAUGCUUGAAGGUUGUGAGAACUGUAGAGGGUAAGUGGAGCAUAGCCUGUGAUUUUGAGAGACUCUGGAAGUGUUAAAGCGGCAGCUGCCACCACAUGUAGACAUGAGGGCCAGCCUAGAAUUGUGAGGUCAAGUUGUUUGGAUAGAAAGGCUAUAGGUCGUGGGCCUGGCUCCUGUGUGAGAACUCCAGCAGCACAGCCUUGUGUUUCAGCUGUGUGUAAGGAAAAAGGUUGGGACAAGUCAGGGAGUGCUAGUGUGGGAGCUGUUUCUAGGGCCUUUUUGAGAGAAUGAAAGGAAGCAUGGGGAAAGGACUUAUGGUCUAUGGGAUCAGCUAAAUUACCUUUAGUGAGUUUGUAAAGCAGUUUGGUUAGAAUGGCAAAACCUUGGUACCCAGAGUCGGAAGUAUCCAACAACGCCUAAGAAGGAAAGGAGUUGUUGUUUGGUGGUGGGGAAUAGGGUCUGGGAGAUUAACUGAACACAGUCUGCAGGAAGAGUGCGUGUAUGUUGAUGGAGGACUAUGUCGAGAUAUGUAACACUAGGGGAGGAAAUAUGAGCUUUAGAGGGGGAUACUCAGUACCCCUUUGAGUAGAGAUAUUGAAGAAGUAGGAUAGGAUAGUGUCCUGCUGGGAAGAUUGGUAAGAAGGGCUGCAAAGAAGAAGGUCUUCAACAUAUUGAAUAAGGUGGGAGGCAGAUGGGCAGAAAGAAAGUCAUGAGAGAGGGCCUGACCAAAGUAGUGUGGGCUGUCCCUGAAACUUUGGGGUCGGACAAUCCAGGUGAAUUGCUGGGACUGGUGGGUGUCAGGGUCAGUCCAAGUAAAGGUGAAAAGAGGUUGGGAGGAGGGAUGCAAGGGGAUGGUAAAGAAGGCAUCUUUGAGGUGGAUAACAGAAUAAUGAGUUGUGGAAGGGGGUGUCGAGGAGAGGAGAGUAUAGGGUUUGGCACAACAGGAUGGAUGGGAAGGACAAUCUGAUUUAUGAGGUGAAGGUCUUGAACUAGCCUCUAGGACUUGUCCGGUUUCUGGAUGGGUAGGAUAGGGGAGUUGUAAGGAGAAUUUGUAGGCUUCAAAAGGCCACGUUGUAACAGGCAAGUGAUAACAGGCUUCAGUUCCCUUUAAAGCCUGCUGCGGGCUGGGAUACUGGUAUUGAGCAGGGUAAGGGUGAUUAGGUUUUAAUGGAAUGGUAAGGAGUGCAUGGUCAGUUGCCAAAGAAAGAGUAGAAGUAUCCUAUACUUGAGGAUUAAGGUGGGGAGAUACAAGGGGAGGAUGCGAAAGAGGCCUUGAAUUGGGGAAAAGGACAGCAAUGGGGUGUGGCUGUAGCCCAGCAAUAGUCAGGGAAGCAGAUAAUGUGGUUAAAAUAUCUCAGCCUAAUAAGGGAACUGGGCAGGUGGGGUUAACUAAAAAGGAGUGCAUAAAAGAAUGUUGUCCAAGUUGGCACCAGAGUUGGGGAGUUUUAAGGGGUUUAGAAGCUUGGCCGUCAAUACCCACGGCAGUUACGGGGGCAAAGGAAACAGGCCCUUGAAAAGAAGGUAAUGUGGGGUGGGUAGCCCCCGUAUUGAUUAAAAAGGGGAUGGACUUACCCUCCACCGUAAGAGUUACCCGAAGCUCGGCAUCUGUGAUGGUCCAAGGGGCUUCUGAGGCGAUCGGGCAGCAUCAGUCUUCAGCCACUAAGCCGAGGAGAUCUGGGAAGGAGUCAGCCAGAGAGCUUUGAGCCAGAGCUCCAGGGACCCUAGAAGGGGCUGUGAUAUUAGUUGGACAGUCCGAUUUCCAGUGGGGUCCCGCACAGGUGGGACAGGCUUAGGAGGAAUCCCGGGCUGCAGGCAUUCCUUGGCCCAGUGGCCAGUUUUGCGGCACUUGAAGCAAGGUCCAUGAGAUGGUUUUAAAGGAGUGCCUAGAGGCUGUGGUUUGGUUGCUCUGAAGUUUUUGUGUGCUGAAGGCAUGGCUGGGGUUUGUCUUACAGCAGAGGCAAGCAAUUGCAGCUCUGAAAGACGUUGCUGCUUGGCUGCCUCUUCUCUAUUGUUGAACACCUUGAAGGCGAGAUUGAUUAAUUCCUGUUGUGGGGUUUGAGGGCCAGAUUCCAAUUUUUGAAGCUUUUUUUGUAAUGUCAGGAGCUGACUGAGUGAUAAAAUGCAUAUUGAGAAUAAGAUGGCCUUCUGGCCCUUCAGGGUCUAGGGCUGUAAAGUUUCUAAGGGUAGCCACCAAACGGGCCAUGAACUGGGCUGGAUUUUCAUCUUUACCUUGGGUGGCUUCUUAAAGCUUGUCAUAAUUAACAGCUUUGUAUGCUGCCUUUUUCAGCCCUUCAGCUAGGCAAGAGACCAUGUAAUCUCGCCUAGCUAUACCUGGGGAGCCUGUCUGGUAUUCCCAUCAAGGAUCCUCUCAGGGAACUGCCCUGAUGCCUUCUUGGAGGUCUGGCUCAUGAUGCCGGCGGGUGUUAGCGUGAGAUUGGGCUAGGGUAUAAACUCUUUCCUGCUCAUCUGGGGAGAGGGUAGAGGUCAGGAUGACAUUUAGGUCACUGCAGGUUAAAGUGUAGGACUGAGUCAAAUAUUGGAAUUCCUGUGUAUAUUUAGUGGGGUCUGAUGAGAAAGAGCCCAGACGCUGACUGAUUGGGAAAGGUCUGAUAGAGAAAAAGGUAUAUGAACCUUUACUGUGCCCUCAGCUCCAGCCACCUCUCUAUGAGGAAAUUGUUGGGCAGGUGGGGGAGAGCUAGUCAUGGAAUGAAACUAAGCCUGACCAAGUUUGAGGAGGGGAGGUGAUAGAAGAAUUAUAAGAUGGGGGAGCGGAGGCUGAGGAAGAAUUGGGACUUGAUUCAGCCUGCCAAGGAGUGGCCUGGGGAGGGGGAGAGAGGUCAGAGGGGUCUGCAGAAAAGGGGGAUUCAGGGGACUCUGAGGUUGGGGUAGAGACUGAAGGAACGGACGGGAGAGAAAGAAGAAAAAUUUGGGAUGAGUCACAUUGGGAGCAGAGGCUUGGGAGGGAGCGAAGUGUAAAAAAUGCCUGGACGCAAGGCACCUCAGACCAUGUGCCCAUUUUUUGACAAAAAUGAUCUAGGUCUUGUAGGAUGGAGAAAUCAAAAGUGCCGUUUUCUGGCCACUUGGAACCAUUGUCAAGUUUAUAUUGCGGCCAAGCAGUAUUGCAGAAGAAAAUAAGACGUUUGAGUUUUAUAUCAGGUGUUAGUUUAAGAGAAGUUUUUAAGUACACAGGCUAAGGGGGAAGAGGGAGGAAUGGAGGGCGGAAGAUUGCCCAAAGUGAAGGAGGUAAGUUUAAAGAGAGAAGUAGAGACACGGAGAAGGGCGGGGGUGAGCAGCCAAAGCAGGCGUCCCCGCAAAUGACUUGCCACCAUGGGAAUGUGGGUGAAUGACCAAGGCAGGCAUCCCCAAGGUGAUCAGACACCAGUGGAAUGUGGGUGAAUAAUUAGGCAGGCGUCCCCGCAGUGAUUAGACACCAAGGGAAGACUGUCUUCCUGAGUCUGUGACCAGCGCCAGAGUUUUGGGUCCACGGAUAAAAUGUGUCUCCUUUGUCUCUACUAGAGAAGAAAAAGACUGGACAGGGAGAUUGGAGGGUAGCGACAGAGGCUGGAGAAAAGAGUGAAGAGACCACUUACCCGAUUUGAAAUUGAGUGAGAACUUGUGACGGUGAAUAACUCUUCUCUUUCCUGGUACCUGGACUUCAGAGAUUAAUACAAAACCCUGUGGGUCAGGACUUGGCAACACCAAGAAGCAUUCAAAUAUAAUGAUUUAUUCAACUGUGUAUUGUCAUGGAAAUAAUAAUUAAAUGGCACAUCUUUGUUGUCUGAAAGGGAUAGAUACUUGUGCUUCUCUUGUUGAGCUAUAUAAAAUACAAGCGCCUUACAAUUUGUCUUCCCUGCCUAUCUAUAUGGACACUGAGUUUGAGGGAUUUUGUUGGUUUCUUCAAACGCUGAGUAUUUUCUUUUAAAAGUAAGUGAAUUAUCUUGACUCGAGAGCCGAAACCCUCACACAGUGACUUCAUGUUAAGGCGACUCUUGAAAAAGCAUCUCAGCUGGGCGUGGUGGCUCACGCCUGUAAUCCCAGCUCUUUGGGAGGCCAAGACGGGUAGAUCACUUGAAGUCAGGAGUUCAAGACCAGCCUGAGUAACAUGGCAAAACUCUGUCUCUACUAAAAAUACAAAAAUUAGCUGGGCGUGGUGGCAGAAACCUGUAAUCCCAGCUACUCAGGAGGCUGAGGCAGGAGAAUUGCUUGAAUCCCAGGGCGGGCAGAGGUUGGAGUGACCUGAGAU